rnacentral:rRNA from 1 species
UACGUAGGGUGCGAGCGUUGUCCGGAAUUAUUGGGCGUAAAGAGCUCGUAGGCGGUUUGUUGCGUCUGCUGUGAAAUCCCGAGGCUCAACCUCGGGCCUGCAGUGGGUACGGGCAGACUGGAGUGCGGUAGGGGAGAGUGGAACUCCUGGUGUAGCGGUGGAAUGCGCAGAUAUCAGGAGGAACACCAAUGGCGAAGGCGGCUCGCUGGGACGGUACUGACGCUGAGACGCGAAAGCGUGGGGAGCAAACAGG